rnacentral:antisense_RNA from 1 species
CUUGAUGGCGGCUGUGCGCAUGGCGCCUUCGGGCGCGCCGGGUUUCCGUUGUCCUUUACCGGUCUACUAACUUGCGCACAGCUGCCACCCCU